AGUAACGCGUGGGUAACCUGCCUCAUACAGGGGGAUAGCAGCUGGAAACGGCUGGUAAUACCGCAUAAGCGCACGGUAUCGCAUGAUACAGUGUGAAAAACUCCGGUGGUAUGAGAUGGACCCGCGUCUGAUUAGCUGGUUGGUGGGGUAACGGCCUACCAAGGCGACGAUCAGUAGCCGACCUGAGAGGGUGACCGGCCACAUUGGGACUGAGACACGGCCCAG
rnacentral:rRNA from 1 species